rnacentral:rRNA from 1 species
UACGGAGGAGGCAAGCGUUAUCCGGAAUUAUUGGGCGUAAAGCGUCCGUAGGUGGUUGACCAAAUCUGCUGUCAAAGGGUGGGGCUUAACCUCAUAAAGGCAGUUGAAACUGGUGAGCUAGAGUGCGGUAGUGGUAAGGGGAAUUCCCAGUGUAGCGGUGAAAUGCGUAGAGAUUGGGAAGAACAUCGGUGGCGAAAGCGCCCUGCUGGGCCUGCACUGACACUGAGGGACGAAAGCUAGGGGAGCGAAAGGG